AUUGAACGCUAGCGGGAUGCUUUACACAUGCAAGUCGAACGAGUGGCGGACGGGUGAGUAAUAUAUCGGAACGUGCCCAGUAGCGGGGGAUAAAUACUCGAAAGAGUGGCUAAAACCGCAUACUAUUGGAGUGGCCGAUCUCGGAUGGGCUAGUUGGUGGGGUAAAGGCUCCCCAGGGCAACGAUCCGUAGCUGGUUUGAAGGGACGACCAGCCACUCUGGGACGGAGCCACGGCCCAGACUCCAACGGGAGGCAGAAGUGGGGAAUUUUGGACAAUGGGGGAAGCCCUGAUCCACCCAGCCCGCGUGUAGGAGAGGGCCUUCGGGUUGUAAGGUACUUUUGGCAGAGAAGCGGUAUCUGCAGAAUAAGCACCGGCUAACUACGUGCCAGCAGCCGCGGUAAUAC
rnacentral:rRNA from 1 species